AGAGAGAGAGAGAAAAAAAAAGAAGCGAGCACACGUCCUUAUGUACACAAAACCCAGACCCUCCACCCUAUAACAAAAUCGACGGGAUCAGAUGCGAUCACGUGUCGCCCCUCACUGUACAGCUCAACUCAUACGGGGCAAGAUACGCGCUCGCUGGUGUAGGAAGCGCGAAGAGUCAGGCAAGUCUUCCUCAAAGCGCUGCAAUGACAAGCUCGAGCAGCUUACACAGUCACAGCGAGAACGGAUAUCUUUAUUAAGCGCGUGUCUGUGUGUGUGCAUAUAUGUGUUUGUAUGAAUAUUUCUGCAAUAUAUUUAUUCAUGUUUCGUCAACGUAAGUAAUUUUGCCGUGCCUUUAGAGUUUUUUGAAUGUUUAAUCGGGACUGUCAUUGCACGGUGGCGAUCCAGUUGUAAACCACAAAGUUCAGGCGGAGCGCCUUAUGCUGUGUCCACAAAUAUAUUAAGAGUUUUCUUUUAUAUAAGUAGAUUCAAUAUGCAUGCUUGCAUACAGUAUAGUUUGCAGUGAACUGAAUUACUUUAUGUAGAGAUGCAUGCGUGUCCUCCUGAAUCAACCGGACCAUUGCUCCAGUUACAACAGAGUUGCAUCACGGAGUUUUGCUUGUCGCUUUUCUGCUUCGCUCCCCGGCUAAUGAAGAGUCCGGUAGAUACUCAAUUAGAUAACCAAUUGUGAUAUGUAAUUAAGCUUAUCAAAGUAAUCUGCAUGGUUUAUUUCAGAUAUUAUUUGAUAUCCGUGCUUAAAAGUGUUGGUUCACAUUGAACAAAGGCAAAUCCGCAUGACAGUUUAAUUGUAAAGAGUUGUUGAUAGUUAAACAACGCCUUUUGCUGAUGAGACAAAUAGAUUUUACAAAAACAUUUAGUCAGAUUUUUUUAUUUUUUUAUUUUAGAGUGAUUUAAAAAAAUAUCCAAGAGAUCAUCAGCCUUGACAGUGCACCCGGGCCUGUUGAGUUUACUGGAGUUGACCUUAGCCCAAACUUGACGUAGGCCUACCCUAUCACCCAUCGGGUCUUUAGAUUAUGUUAAAACUAAAUAAGUAAGCAUAUAAACAUUUGUGCACCGUGACACCGACGCAAAUCGGACAAUACAAUUAGAAAUUGAGCUGCGAGUGAACUUUUUUAUCCCAGAGGUCAAAUUUUUAGGUCAGCCUAUCCAUCAUGUUAAUAAACAUACAGUUACAAAUGUGUAAAAUUAAGUUCGGGUAACAUUUUAUAUUGCAAUGUCUAUGUUCAAAACAUGUUACUAUAGAUGAUAGUAGACUAAUAACAACGUUUUUACGCCGCGAGGUAUUUCACAGUUUUUUAUAGCGAGUGUAUGUUGGUCAUUUGAAACACAUGGUAACAAACGUAAUGUGAAAUGACAUGUUAAAAGUUUUCAUAAUGCAGUGCAAAAUUAAAUGUCUGCCAUUUAAUAAUUCUUUUAUAAAUCACAGGAUUCUGCCCUUGUGAAACAGGCCCACAGACGAACUUUUCAGAGAGCUGUCACCCGUUUCUCUACACGGACCCAAAAGUUCAUCUGUGAACAACCGCGGAACAAACGUGUUCCUUUAUAGACCUAUGCAGAUCAUCUGUGGUGGUUUAUGACAAUGCAUUUUGUGGUAAAGAUUCAAAAAGAAUAAAUUACUCGCGACCUCUCUUUGUAUUAGCCUAUGAAAUGUAACUGACGAGAACUAAAGAAUCUCUAUAUAUUUGCAUUUGCUUCAUAACAGCUUCGAAGAUCCCAGUAAUAUUCAUGUAUUAUAAAAAAUAACAGGUUAUUUAAAUGUCAGUGCAACAGGUUGAAGAAAUAGAAAAUUAAAUAUGAUUUGCGAUCAUCAAGCAAAAUGUUUAAAAGUAGCCUAUAAUUUAAAUAUAGCAUAUUCUUCCAUAUGUUUUUAAGUAACAUGUAAUCUCAAAAGUUUAACAUGAGUUUAACAUAUUAACUAAUAGCAUAUGUGAUCAUUUUUCUCCAUGUUUUGGAAUAAAUGCUGAAUGAGUGUUUCUAAGGCCGUGAACUGACAACUAUGACACAGAACGGAUUACCUAAAUGCGCAUUAAUGCAAAAAUAAAUUCUUUAAGAAGCACAACUAUCGAUGAGUUCAGAACUGCCCCAGAAGACACCAAAAUGUUUAAUGUAAAUUUCAGUCAAAGAACUGGACAGUCAUCUAAACUAUAAAAACCCCGCGAAUCCGUGUGAACAAUUCCAAUAUUAGCCUAAUCUCUGUGAAUAAGAGAAUGUUUCUUGCCAUAAUUGAACGAAUAGAUGUGAAUUCGUUUGCUGAAGGACACUGUGACGUCAAAUGCGUUGUGUUUGUAUUUCUAUGAAACAGCAACAUUGCUACACAAGGACCAGUUUUUAACCACUGUUACCUCUUACAGGCUUUCAGGGGAUUAAAACAAUAUCAUGUUUUUAAGGGAAUGUUUUUCUUCUAACAAAAUGAUUGGCUUUUUUUUUGGAAUCUAUUUAAAAAUUAAUAAGCCCAUGUUCACUAUUAUAAUUUGACGUGAGCGAAUAAUAAGAAUUGAAUUGUAGCUGCUAAAAUAAACAGUCUGUAAACUUUAUCAGUGUUACAGGGAAUUGUAUUAAUGAUAAUGCCAUUAAUAUAUAUACUACGAUGUUGUGCCUGUCUCUUAUUUGACGCGGAUUCGUGAAGAAAAUGUUAGCUACGUUUGAGCACACGCUAGACGAAUUAAACGUGUGGUAAAGUUUUGGAUGUGUGAUCUGAGCGCAAUCUAAAGAUAUAAAGCUGGUUUGUAUCCGUGUACGUGGGAUUGUCGCCUAACUUUAUCUCUUCGGCGAUUCAGGGAGACUCUGCAAAACCGCAAAUAUUUUAAAAAGUGUCAAUACUCCUAGAUAAUGAGAUGCUUUUACGCUCUCUUUGUGUUAUGUAAAAUCCGUGUAAUAUUCUACGCAGUUUUAUGUUGUUAUAUUCGUUAUGAACACGGAAAUUACUUAAAGCAGAGGCAUCCAGAAUCAUUUACAUUAACAUAAAAUAACAAUUAAAUAAUUUCUGGCAUUCACGGAUUCCGCGUAAUUAUAUGUUUUACAGCAUGAAAUAUCCUCCAAUCGACUUCUAGUUGAUUUAUGCGAAGGACAUUAAAACUUAUACAGAGACUUGAAAGACUUCAAGAAAUUAAAAAGCAGAGAUGAAACAAAAGGUUAAUAGCUUUCUUUUUUAACCGCUUGUUAAAAUGGAAGACAAUAAAAUGACAAAAAGCUUUAAACAUUGACUGUUUUGUGUCCACAGUGUUAUAUUAGCUUUUUGAUACGAAUGACUGAACGAUUAAAAAACGUCAAUAUGCAUCUUAAUCCAGGUUUAUUAAUUCAGUGUGUCGUUUAUCCAAAGUGACUUCUGCUUUGAAGCUGAAUUGAUGGAACUGUGAUUGCUGCACUAGACCCCUAUCUGUGUUUAGGUCAUUUUUCAUCCUUGUAAACUUCAAACUAUAAUUAAUUAAAGUACAGGCUUGACAUACCUUUUCAAUGUGAUGAUCUAAUCCAGAAAGUUUUGCAGCACCCUCUCUUUUCAGUAUCUCACACCUGUCACAGAAGAACAUUUAAAAGAAGUGAGGCUGUCCCUCGCCCACAGAUUGUCUAUCUAUAUCCUCAUCUCCAUCCCUCAUGCUCCCUGUCUCUCCCUCACCAUCAAGUAAAACGGUUGUCUGCACCUCUCUGGGUUCAUCCUGGGUGUGCCUGUGUUCAUGAAAGUCUGGGCAAACUGAUCUAGGAUCAGAUUCCUCCUCACUUUACAAUGAUAGCGACCCAAGCCUAUUUAUAAAGAGUUGCUGGCCUCUUCGAUUACAUACCCCUCUGCCUCUUCUCACAGAUCCCCACUGUAUCCAGGCUCCCUCGACUGCCCUGUGAAACCAAACAAGAAAAUGGCCACAGAGGGGAAUUCAGAAGGGUGUGUGACAUACAGGUUGGAACAACAUGAAGAUGAAUCCAGUCGGAGUUAUAUUAAAAAUUGUCCGUGCCCCUCCAAGCCUUUCAGUGGGGGUAAGCGGCUGUCGGUUGUCAACAUUUCAGAGGACUUGAAAUAAAGUGUGCGCAUCCAUAAUAAAACAUCCCUCACACGCCUCCGGGGGGUGAAUAAAGGCCUCCUGUAGCGAAUCCAUGUAUUUUCGUUUUUUUUUAUUUUUUUUCCAUGUCGUUUCAAACCUUUCUUUUGUGGAACAUAAAAUAAGGUAUUUUCAAAUAGAAUACCCUUAAAGUAAAGUUGGUAUUUUGAAGACUGUUGUCAACAAAGCUGUUUUGGUUACCAAUGACUUUCAUUGUAUAAACAAACAAUGCUGAGCUGUUUCUCAAAUUAUCUUCUUUUAUGUGCCAUAAUUUAUGUUAGGCCGUUGUAGCCUACAUGUUUAUGUGUAAUAAUUUUUAUUUUUUUAAAUUAAAAAAAUU